AAGAUGAACCUGAUGAUGCGACAGUUGAUGUUGCAGUCUCCGCCCUAGCCCCCUCAGUAGGGCACUGUGAGUCACCUUUCUUCUAUCUUGUUCUAAAACAUUGAGGCCAAUGUUUGGUUCAAGUGUGGAGGAGGUUUAAUUAUUCUUUUAGUUUUAUGUUUUUUAUUUUCAAUUUUUUUAUGUUUUAUUUUAUUAUUUCCCUUUUUUUUACUGUUUUACAUUUGUUUUUUUUUCUAUUGGGUAUCAUUUGCUACAUAUGUUCCAGGUUCUUGGUGUUCUUGUUGGAUUAGGUGAUGACCAUUAGUGGUAGUGGAUGAAAUGAUCACUCCACUUAUUAUUGCUUGUUGUGAAGGAUCUUCCAAAAAAGUUGAUACUGCUGAAGAAAAGAUCGAACACAACUUUUCAAGCUCAACUAACGUAGGUUCCCUGUGCAUUCCGAGUUGAGUAGGAAGCCAUACCAUACUAGAAGUAAUGUGGAUGUUGUCAAGCUUUACCUAAC
rnacentral:lncRNA from 1 species